rnacentral:rRNA from 1 species
GAGACAUUCGUUUAUGACGGAGAGUUUGAUCCUGGCUCAGGACGAACGCUGGCGGCGUGCUUAACACAUGCAAGUCGAACGGGGUAUCAGGGUAGCAAUACCCGAAGUACCUAGUGGCGAACGGGUGCGUAACACGUGAGCAACCUACCCCAGAGCUUGGAAUAACACCGGGAAACCGGUGCUAAUACCGAAUACUCUCAUUCGGCCGCAUGACUGAAUGAGGAAAGAUUUAUCACUCUGGGACGGGCUCGCGGCCUAUCAGCUUGUUGGUGAGGUAACGGCUCACCAAGGCUACGACGGGUAGCUGGUCUGAGAGGACGAUCAGCCACACUGGGACUGAGACACGGCCCAGACUCCUACGGGAGGCAGCAGUGGGGAAUAUUGCGCAAUGGGCGAAAGCCUGACGCAGCAACGCCGCGUGGAGGAUGAAGGCUCUCGGGUUGUAAACUCCUUUCAGCAGGGACGAAAAUGACGGUACCUGCAGAAGAAGCCC